rnacentral:rRNA from 1 species
CCUACGGGAGGCAGCAGUGAGGAAUAUUGGUCAAUGGACGCAAGUCUGAACCAGCCAUGCCGCGUGCAGGAAGACGGCCCUAUGAGUUGUAAACUGCUUUUGGACGAGGGUAAAUCCCGACUCGUGUAUCUGGUUGAAAGUAUCGUACGAAUAAGGAGCGGCUAACUCUGUGCCAGCAGCCGCGGUAAUACGGAGGAUUCAAGCGUUAUCCGGAUUUAUUGGGUUUAAAGGGUGCGUAGGCGGUUCGAUAAGUUAGAGGUGAAAGCCCGGGGCUCAACCCCGGCACUGCCUCUGAUACUGUCGGGCUAGAGUGUAGUUGCGGUAGGCGGAAUGUAUGGUGUAGCGGUGAAAUGCAUAGAGAUCAUACAGAACACCGAUUGCGAAGGCAGCUUACCAGACUACGACUGACGUUGAGGCACGAAAGCGUGGGGAGCAAACAGGAUUAGAUACCCGAGUAGUC